UAUAUACUUCCUCCGUCCCAAAAUUUUUGUCCUAGAUUUGUCUAGAUACGGAUGUAUCUAACACUAAAACAUAAUUAGAUACAUCUGUAUUCAGACAAAUUUAAGACAAAAAUUUUAGGACAAAGGGAGUACAUC
rfam:Triticum aestivum genome assembly, contig: Triticum_aestivum_CS42_TGACv1_scaffold_129550_2BL